AACGAACGCUGGCGGCAGGCUUAACACAUGCAAGUCGAGCGCCCCGCAAGGGGGGCGGCAGCCGGGUGAGUAACGCGUGGGAACGUACCCUUAUCUUCGGGAUAGCUCCGGGAAACUGGAAUUAAUACCGAAAGUGCCCUUUGGGGGAAAGAUUUAUCGGAUAAGGAUCGGUCCGCGAUGGAUUAGCUAGUUUGUGGGGUAAAGGCCUCCCAAGGCGACGAUCCAUAGCUGGUCUGAGAGGAUGAGCAGCCACAUUGGGACUGAGACACAGCCCAAACUCCUACGGGAGGCAGCAGUGGCGAAUAUUGGAACAUGGGCGCAAGCCUGAUGCAGCCAUGCCGCGUGAGUGAUGAAGGCCUUAGGGUUGUAAAGCUCUUUCACCGGAGAAGAUAAUGACGGUAUCCGGAGAAGAAGCCCCGGCUAACUUCGUG
rnacentral:rRNA from 1 species